rnacentral:rRNA from 1 species
CGGAAUUACUGGGCGUAAAGCGUACGUAGGCGGGUUGUUAAGUUAGAGGUGAAAUCCCAGGGCUCAACCCUGGAACUGCCUUUAAUACUGGCAACCUAGAGUUCGAGAGAGGUGAGUGGAAUUCCGAGUGUAGAGGUGAAAUUCGUAGAUAUUCGGAAGAACACCAGUGGCGAAGGCGGCUCACUGGCUCGAUACUGACGCUGAGGUGCGAAAGUGUGGGGAGCAAACAGGA